AUACACGUUAUUGAUAUUGAUUUACGUUAUUGAUAUUGAUACACGUUAUUGAUAUUGGUACAGGUUAUUGAUAUUAAUACACGUUAUUGAUAUUGAUACAAGUUAUUGGUAUUAAUACACGUUAUUGGUAAUGAUACACGUUAUUGAUAUUGAUACAGGUUAUUGAUAAUAAUGCACGUUAUUGAUAAUGAUACACGUUAUUGAUAAUGAUACAGGUUAUUGAUAUUAAUACACGUUAUUGAUAUUGAUACACGUUAUUGGUAUUAAUACACGUUAUUGGUAUUAAUACACGUUAUUGGUAUUAAUACACGUUAUUGAUAUUGAUACAGGUUAUUGAUAAUGAUGCACGUUAUUGAUAAUGAUACACGUUAUUGAUAAUGAUACAGGUUAUUGAUAUUCAUACAGGUUAUUGAUAAUGAUGCACGUUAUUGAUAAUGAUACACGUUAUUGAUAAUGAUACAGGUUAUUGAUAUUUAUACAGGUUAUUGAUAAUGAUACACGUUAUUGAUAAUGAUACAGGUUAUUGAUAUUCAUACAGGUUAUUGAUAAUGAUGCACGUUAUUGAUAAUGAUGCACGUUAUUGAUAAUGAUACAGGUUAUUGAUAUUCAUACAGGUUAUUAAUUAUUAUAAACGUUUGUCGUACGGUAUUAGAAUCAGACUUCUAAUCGUGAGCAUGUAUGCAUAUAUUAAUAGGCUACACGUAACUUGACUAAUGUGUGCAUGGAUCGACAUCGUGACGUUAUAAUUGAUGUCAUUGGGACGAAGACAAUUGAUUGUCAGAAUGGAUGGUCCAUCUUCAGGAUCACACCGUCACUAACAAUAAGAAAAUAAGAAAAGUUUUUAUUUCGAAUUAGAUGCAUUUAUUUAAAAGACAACAAAAAGUGUAGAAAAUAUUAGUAUAAGCGUUGAGGUGUCUUGCCGUGAUAAUUAUAGUCGCUAUAAAUAACACAGCUUUACAGGUAGCAAUAACGUAUUGUUGUGGCGCCCAUUUUGAUGCUUUAAUAACAUCUUAGACGCUUGUUGAGCAGUUUUAGGGUUUAAUACUGCUAUUUAAGUAGCUCAACAAUGUCAAAAACUCACACGUACAUUGUAUAAAACAAAAUCGUAGGAAACGUCUAUGUUGUUUGUUAUGAUGUUAUGUAUUUGAUAUAUAUACAAUGUCCUGGAGUGUAUAUCUAUGCUUAUAUGUAACGUUUACAGUGGACUAUGAUUUCGUGUCGUGUUUUUAUUGUUACAGUAAAACAUAUAUACUGGAUCUUA